AUGGUUUUCUCCUAGCCAAGGCUUUCCCCUCAGCCUGCUCCUCUUCUUAAGACGCACAUCCUCCCUGUGUGACCUCAUCCAAAUGGCCACCUCACACGUGAACAAGAUUGGUUCCCUUGGCAAGGAAGAAGGUCCCUCAGAACAGCCGUCCUCCAAUGCGGAAGGAGACUAUGCAAAGGUGUGAGUACCAGGAGGUCCACUCUCAACUCCUGUCAACCCUCCUCUCUGCCCUGAUACUUUGACCUUUGUGGGCUACAUCAGAAGACUCUCUGACUUCCAGCUGGGUUUGGCCAAUAGAAGCUUCCAGCAGAAGACUGAAAAGCACGAGGAGAGUGAGUUGAAGAAACCAAGGCAUAGACAAAGCCAAUGAUUUUUCCAAGACCACAUAGCUGGAAGUGGGAUUUACAAUCACCAGGUUCACGUGACUUCAAAGUGCCCUCUCAGACAGGUCCACAUGGUGAGGAACUGGGGCCACCAGCCAACAACCAUGUCGUUGAGUCAUCUUAGACGUAGUUCCUCCAUCCUCAUCAAGCCAUCCAAGUGACACAGUGCCAGCUGAUAUCUUGACUACAGCCCCAUGAGAGACACUGAGUCAUACCCAUCCACCCACUUCUGAAUUCCUGACCCACAGAAACUGAGAUGAGAAAUUGCUUUCAACCAGUAAGUUUCGGAGUAAUUUGUUACAUAGCAAUGAAUAACAUAGACAUUUCAGAUAAUGUCUUUAGUUCACAGGACUUCAGACAGAGAGGAACUCUACUUGGAGAUCUGCACUUAAAGACUACACCUAAGGAGAUUCGCCUGCAUUGGGACCUGAUUUAAAGGAUGACGUCCUGGACUCCAGAGCUGAUGCUGUAUAGGCUUGAGACUUUUGGGAGGUAUUGAGAAGGAUGACAGUAUUUUGCAAGUGGGAGGAAUAUGACGGUUAAAGUAUGUCCACAAAGUAUUUAACAUUAUUUUCAAAAAGUGGAGUGUAAUUCCCCUCCCCUUGAGAGUGGGCUGGACUUAGUGACUCACUUCUAAUGGAUAGAAUCGAGGAGAAGUGACAGUGUGUGACUUCAGAGGCCAGGUCAUAAAAGUCACUGUGUCUUUCUGCUUGCUCUUCCUUGUGGAUGCUGAACUCUGGGGGGACGUUGUGAGCAGUCUUAUGGAGAGGCCCACAUGAAACCCAGGCCUUCUGCCAACAACCAUUUGAGUGAAUCCUUUGGCAAGUGGAUCCUCCAGCCCCAGUCAAGCCUUCGGAUGACUCCAGGCCCAGUCAGCAUCUUAACUGCAACCUCAUGAGAGAACCAGAAACCCAGUUCAGAACUAUCCACCCAAGUCACUGCCAGAUUCCUAAUCCUCAG